rfam:Erinaceus europaeus unplaced genomic scaffold scaffold00654, whole genome shotgun sequence
CUGUGACAUCUGUCACCCCAUUGAUUGCCAGGGUUGAUUCUGCUGAUCUGGCUGGAUAGGUGGGUAUCC